rnacentral:rRNA from 1 species
UUCUGGCUCAGGAUGAACGCUAGCUACAGGCUUAACACAUGCAAGUCGAGGGGCAGCAUAAAGUCAGCUUGCUGAUUUGAUGGCGACCGGCGCACGGGUGAGUAACGCGUAUCCAACCUUCCCUAUAGUAGGGGAUAGCCCGGCGAAAGUCGGAUUAAUACCCUAUGUUCUUCAUAGAUGACAUCUGAAAUGAAGCAAAGGUUUACCGCUAUAGGAUGGGGGAUGCGUCUGAUUAGCUUGUUGGCGGGGUAACGGCCCACCAAGGCUACGAUCAGUAGGGGUUCUGAGAGGAAGGUCCCCCACAUUGGUACUGAGACACGGACCAAACUCCUACGGGAGGCAGCAGUGAGGAAUAUUGGUCAAUGGGCGAGAGCCUGGACCAGCCAAGUAGCGUGCAGGAUGACUGCCCUAUGGGUUGUAAACUGCUUUUAUAGGGGAAUAAAGUGAGGAACGUGUUCCUUUUUGUAUGUACCCUAUGAAUAAGGACCGGCUAAUUCCGUGCCAGCAGCGGC